GGACCUGCGGAGGGAUCAUUA
rnacentral:rRNA from 1 species